rnacentral:rRNA from 1 species
UAGGGAAUCUUCCACAAUGGACGCAAGUCUGAUGGAGCAACGCCGCGUGAGUGAAGAAGGUCUUCGGAUCGUAAAACUCUGUUGUUAGAGAAGAACACGAGUGAGAGUAACUGUUCAUUCGAUGACGGUAUCUAACCAGCAAGUCAUGGCUAACUACGUGCCAA